rnacentral:tRNA from 1 species
GGGGAUUUAGCUCAGUGGUAGAGCGCUUGCCUAGCAAGCACAAGGUCCUGGGUUUGGUCCCCAGCUCUG